rnacentral:lncRNA from 1 species
GAUACUUACGCGGUGCGGGCAGCAGCGGGGCGCAGCCACUCUCUCUCUUUCUCUCUCUCUUUCUUUUCACUCUCUCUCUCUCUCCCCCUCUCUUCUUCUCUUGCGGGCAGAGAAGAAACCCACGCGCGCACGCGGUGAUGUCUUACUGGUGAUAAUUGGCCCAGGGGUCGGGCUAUCCCCAUGGCAUGGACGAGUCCAUUGAUUCUGGAGGAGUUCUUACAACUUGGUCAAGGCCAAAAGACAGCCAAUUGCAGAGCCUGGAUUAGAACCCAGUGUUUUGUGAUAAAUCUUUUCCUGGGGAGAGAAAACACACAUCUGCUCGUGCCUGUUAGGGAUCGCAUGGCAGUCCAAAGCAUGGAUACCGCCAAAGUCCAACGUGGUGAACCAAUACCAGCGAAGCCCGUGAAGGGGAAAGCCGUGCAGGCCAGGCUUUGCUGCGCAUCAGAGAACGCUGGCGGAUCCGAGGAUCCCCGUUUUGUUGAAAUAGAAUUGUAAAAAUAAAGGGGGGGCAGUUUAAUCCUGUUAAA